rnacentral:rRNA from 1 species
UGCACAUGCCUGAAGCGCUGGCCGCUACUCAUUCCCAUUGCUCUUGCGCUCUCCAGCACAUCGCGCGGCACCUGAUUGAGCCCGGCGACCACGCCGCGCACCACCUAACGUCCGUCGUGAAGAGGGAAACAACCCAGACCGCCAGCUAAGGUCCCAAAGUCAUGGUUAAGUGGGAAACGAUGUGGGAAGGCCCAGACAGCCAGGAUGUUGGCUUAGAAGCAGCCAUCAUUU